rnacentral:rRNA from 1 species
AACGUAGGUCACAAGCGUUGUCCGGAAUUACUGGGUGUAAAGGGAGCGCAGGCGGGGAGAUAAGUUGGGAGUGAAAACUAUGGGCUCAACCCAUAAAUUGCUUUCAAAACUAUCUUUCUUGAGUAGUGCAGAGGUAGGCGGAAUUCCCGGUGUAGCGGUGGAAUGCGUAGAUAUCGGGAGGAACACCAGUGGCGAAGGCGGCCUACUGGGCACCAACUGACGCUGAGGCUCGAAAGUAUGGGUAGCAAACAGGAUUAGAUACCCUGGUAGUCCAUACCGUAAACGAUGAUUACUAGGUGUUGGGGGAUUGACCCCCUCAGUGCCGCAGUUAACACAAUAAGUAAUCCACCUGGGGAGUACGACCGCAAGGUUGAA